rnacentral:rRNA from 1 species
AACUAACGCUGGCGGCGUGCCUAACACAUGCAAGUCGUACGAGAAAGUCGGCUUCGGCUGAUGAGUAAAGUGGCGCACGGGUGAGUAACGCGUGGAUAAUCUGCCCUUGAGUGUGGAAUAACGUACCGAAAGGUGCGCUAAUACCGCAUAAUGCCUGGCAACACAAGUUGUCCGGCCAAAGAAGGCCUCUGUUUACAAGCUUUCGCUUCAGGAUGAGUCCGCGUACCAUUAGCUUGUUGGUGGGGUAAUGGCCUACCAAGGCUGCGAUGGUUAGCUGGUCUGAGAGGAUGAUCAGCCACACUGGAACUGAGACACGGUCCAGACUCCUACGGGAGGCAGCAGUGAGGAAUAUUGCGCAAUGGGGGCAACCCUGACGCAGCAACGCCGCGUGAGUGAGGAAGGUUUUCGGACUGUAAAGCUCUGUCGAGCGGGAAGAAGUGUACCAUGGCUAAUAUCCAUGAUAUUUGACGGUACCG